GUGAGCUGUCUCAAUGGCGAGGUGAGUUCGCUGAGGUUGGGUAUAAACUUUCCCAGAUAGUUGACCAUAGCCAGAAAAUGUUGAAGGCUGUGUACAUCGGCAGGGGCAGGCAUUUCGUUAAUGGCUGCAGUUUUCUUGGGGUCUGGCUUCAGUCCAUUGCGGGUGAAUACGUGUCCGACGUAAGUGACCUCAGGAACACGGAACUUGCAUUUCUUGGGGUUGAACUUUAGAAACUCCAGCUGG